GGGUUGUGAGGUUAAGCGACUAAGCGUACACGGUGGAUGCCCUGGCAGUCAGAGGCGAUGAAGGACGUGCUAAUCUGCGAUAAGCGUCGGUAAGGUGAUAUGAACCGUUAUAACCGGCGAUUUCCGAAUGGGGAAACCCAGUGUGUUUCGACACACUAUCAUUAACUGAAUCCAUAGGUUAAUGAGGCGAACCGGGGGAACUGAAACAUCUAAGUACCCCGAGGAAAAGAAAUCAACCGAGAUUCCCCCAGUAGCGGCGAGCGAACGGGGAGCAGCCCAGAGCCUGAAUCAGUGUGUGUGUUAGUGGAAGCGUCUGGAAAGGCGCGCGAUACAGGGUGACAGCCCCGUACACAAAAAUGCACAUGCUGUGAGCUCGAUGAGUAGGGCGGGACACGUGGUAUCCUGUCUGAAUAUGGGGGGACCAUCCUCCAAGGCUAAAUACUCCUGACUGACCGAUAGUGAACCAGUACCGUGAGGGAAAGGCGAAAAGAACCCCGGCGAGGGGAGUGAAAAAGAACCUGAAACCGUGUACGUACAAGCAGUGGGAGCACGCUUAGGCGUGUGACUGCGUACCUUUUGUAUAAUGGGUCAGCGACUUAUAUUCUGUAGCAAGGUUAACCGAAUAGGGGAGCCGAAGGGAAACCGAGUCUUAACUGGGCGUUAAGUUGCAGGGUAUAGACCCG
rnacentral:rRNA from 1 species